UGGCAACUGUGUGGGAUAUGAGAUAAGCCAGCCUCACUGGAGCCCACAGGAAGUUCUGGCAUCUUCCAUUUUCCUUGAGAUAGACGCUCAUGUAGCCUAGGGUGCCCUUGAACUCUCUAUGUAACAAGCACGUCCCAGAAACCCUGAUCCACUUGCACCCAUUUCUGAGUGCUGGGUAACAGAGGUGCCCUCCCUUACACACAACUAGGUCAGUGCUCUUCCCACCAAGCCCCAGCCCAGCUGUCAUGUCUCCAAACAGGCCUGAAGCACCUGGCCCUGUACCUCAGUCCUUCUCAGUCACCCCCAGUCAGUCUCUCAAGACACACAUGCUCACUAGUCUGCUCCUGUCGAGUUCCUGAAGGCAGAGGCCCGAGCGGGGUGUACCCUCUGUGGGGUCACAAUGCUGGGGCUUGGUGUGACCUCAACUAUCAGCAAAGGUCUGUCUUUGGGAACAGUGCAAGGCACUGUGGAGAGGUUAGUGUCCCUAUGGCCUGGGGCAGCCACCCUUCUCAGAAGUGGCAUCCAUGCUGUGGAUAUGCAGUUCUUGGAGAGAAACUGUCAUGCUGCAGGGAAGUUGGCUAAGACAGGAAGUGGGGACGCCCUGGGCAUGGAGCCACAGACUUGCCUGUCACACAGAAACGACUCCAUCACUGCAGCAUGGUACUGGAGAGGAGAGUACACCUUGAGCUGACAGUGCUGCCUCUGGGCUCUCUUUCCUCAACUCAGCCUUCUGCAGCAUCAGCCAGUCAGUGCACCCAGCAUGGCGAGCAGGGCUGUUUGCUGGGAGCCCCAGCUUGUCGACCCACCCUAUACCCAAAGCUUGGGAGGUGCUGCAGCUCACAGCCCUGGUCUGCAAGGUCCCUGCCAAUGCUGUGUGGUGACACCAGGACAGUUCUGGACUCCAGAGGGACAGCUAAAUGUGGCUCUUGUGACCACCUAGGAGUGACUUCAGCCCAGGAAACCUUCAGAGGCAGCAGGUGUCUUCAGUUCCCCGGAAAUGAGCUGACCUGGCACCAGCACUGGGGAGGCCGAGGCGAGCAGACUGCUGGGAGUCAGAGGCCAGCCACGGCGACAUGAGGAGACCUUGGCUCAAGACAAGUAAGAAAACACAUAGCUGAAGGCAGAGAAUGUCUCAGAGGCUAAGCUGCUCUUGCAGAGGAUCUGCACCCCCAGUUCCCCGCACCCACAGAUCCAGCCCCAGGGAUCUUACACCCUCUGCCCUAGACACAGGCACACAAAUAAACAAGCUUUUAAAUCCA